AACUCGAAGAGCAUGUACCAAUUAACCGCUUCAGACCAAAUAUUUUAGUGGAGGGAUGCCACCCAUAUGCAGAGGAUCUAUGGAAAACAAUAAAGAUAAACAAGCUAACAUUUCGAGGUGUGAAAUUAUGGCGGCCGUUGCAAGGUGCCUACAAUCAAUCAAGACACUGGAAUACCAAGCCCUAAUGAACCAAGUGAAACACUGCAGAAAUAUCGGUCCGGAGAAGUGCUGCUUCCCAGCCACAAAAAUAAACAUCAGGUGAUUUGUCA